rnacentral:lncRNA from 1 species
GCUGGGUGAACUCUGCUGCUCUGUGAUUGGUUGAAGCAGGUCACAUGCUUUACAGGAAACCUGCUCUUCCCCCUGCAGCACCAGGGAAACUCUCCUCAACUCUCCGAGCUGGUUCUGUGAGCGUCAGAUCCAGAUUUCCUCCAGAUUCCUCUAGACUUUGUUUAAGACUCCAGACUUUCUUUUGGGCUGUGACGAGACGAGGAGGAAAUGGCAGAAGGAAAAGCAAAGCCUCCAGAGGGCAGCACUGAGCCACAGCUCUAUGGGACAAAAAGCAGAUCUACAGCCUCAGUGUCCGCUCUGUCCAUGAAGAGUGACUGGUCUAAAGACCGUGAUCCAACCUUCAGUCCUGAACCUGCUCCAGACUCACGAAGCAGAUCUACAGCCUCAGUGUCCAUGAAGAGUGACUGGUCUAAAGACCGUGAUCCAUGCUUCAGUCCUGAACCUGCUCCAGACUCACGAGAAACAGAGUCAGAGCAGGACGCCUGGCCUCAGUGUGGAGACACAGGCAACAGUCCUGAUCAGUGGGUUCAAGGCCCUGCACCAGGUGAGUCUGCUCAGUCUGA